rnacentral:rRNA from 1 species
UGGGGAAUAUUGCACAAUGGGCGCAAGCCUGAUGCAGCCAUGCCGCGUGUAUGAAGAAGGCCUUCGGUUUGUAAAGUACUUUCAGCGGGGAGGAAGGGAGUAAAGUUAAUACCUUUGCUCAUUGACGUUACCCGCAGAAGAAGCACCGGCUAACUCCGUGCCAGCAGCCGCGGUAAUACGGAGGGUGCAAGCGUUAAUCGGAAUUACUGGGCGUAAAGCGCACGCAGGCGGUCUGUCAAGUCGGAUGUGAAAUCCCCGGGCUCAAACUGGGAACUGCAUUCGAAACUGGCAGGCUAGAGUCUUGGAGAGGGGGGUAGAAUUCCAGGUGUAGCGGUGAAAUGCGUAGAGAUCUGGAAGAAUACCGGUGGCGAAGGCGGCCCCCUGGACAAAGACUGACGCUCAGGUGCGAAAGCGUGGGGAGCAAACAGG